rnacentral:rRNA from 1 species
UACGGGGGGAGCAAGCGUUGUUCGGAUUUACUGGGCGUAAAGGGCGCGUAGGCGGCGCGUCAAGUCACUUGUGAAAUCUCUGGGCUCAACCCAGAACGGUCAAGUGAUACUGUCGUGCUAGAGUGCGGAAGGGGCAACUGGAAUUCUUGGUGUAGCGGUGAAAUGCGUAGAUAUCAAGAGGAACACCUGCGGCGAAGGCGGGUUGCUGGGCCGACACUGACGCUGAGGCGCGAAAGCGUGGGGAGCAAACAGG